GACGAACGCUGGCGGCGUGCCUAAUACAUGCAAGUCGAGCGAAGUUUUUCUGGUGCUUGCACUAGAAAAACUUAGCGGCGAACGGGUGAGUAACACGUAAAGAACCUGCCUCAUAGACUGAGACAACUAUUGGAAACGAUAGCUAAUACCGGAUAACAGUAUUUCUCGCAUGAGAGAUAUUUAAAAGUUGGUUAUGCUAACACUAUGAGAUGGCUUUGCGGUGCAUUAGCUAGUUGGUGGGGUAAAGGCCCACCAAGGCGACGAUGCAUAGCCGACCUGAGAGGGUGAUCGGCCACACUGGGACUGAGACACGGCCCAGACUCCUACGGGAGGCAGCAGUAGGGAAUCUUCCGCAAUGGGCGAAAGCCUGACGGAGCAACGCCGCGUGAGUGAAGAAGGAUUUCGGUUCGUAAAGCUCUGUUGUUAGGGAAGAAUGGAUAUGUAGUAACUAUACA
rnacentral:rRNA from 1 species